UACGUAGGGCGCAAGCGUUGUCCGGAAUCAUUGGGCGUAAAGCGCGCGUAGGUGGCCCGGCAAGUCCGCUCUGAAAGCCACAGGCUCAACCUGUGAAAGCGGGUGGAUACUGCCGGGCUAGAGUGCGGAAGAGGCGAGUGGAAUUCCUGGUGUAGCGGUGGAAUGCGCAGAUAUCGGGAGGAACACCAACGGCGAAGGCAGCUCGCUGGGACGGUACUGACACUGAGGCGCGAAAGCAUGGGGAGCGAACAGG
rnacentral:rRNA from 1 species